UACAGAGGGUGCAAGCGUUAAUCGGAAUUACUGGGCGUAAAGCGUGCGUAGACGGUUACAUAAGUCGGGUGUGAAAGCCCCGGGCUCAACCUGGGGAAUUGCAUUCGAGACUGCGUAGCUAGGGUGCGGAAGAGGGAAGCGGAAUUUCCGGUGUAGCGGUGAAAUGCGUAGAUAAUCGGAAGGAACACCAGUGGCGAAAGCGGCUUCCUGGUCCAGCACCGACGUCAGCAC
rnacentral:rRNA from 1 species